AUGCGUGGAGGACAGACAGCAGUGUCAGCAGGAGAGAACAGGUUUCUUAACAGAUUAGUAAGUUGGAGACCCAUGCCAGUGGAUGGUGGUACUGGUGAUGGUGGACCGCCUGGUCUGAGACUGAAGAAUGAAGCGAAUGAAGCAGACCUAUCCCGUCUGUCUCCUAAUAAACAGGCAUCAGAUCCUGGGCCCCGGCCAGAGGGGAGCCCUGCCACCCAAACCGCCAUCUCUCCCUCGCCUCUAGAGCCUAGCAGGGAGGCGAACGGCCACACGCCGUCUGACAGAAAGACAGAGAGAGCAAAGCCAGCGGGCCAUAUGUGUCUGGUUGUGAGAGGAACUCAAACCACAGACUGUCCAACUCAGAAAUGCUGCAUCUGCCCAGCUCUUCCUCAUGGCAGAAUUAAUGGAGCGCUCAGCAUGGAGCGGGGUGAAAAAGUCACAACUAAAGAGUAAGAUGCCUUUUUGAUGGAUACAUUAAUUAGAACAUGUAAGAGGUAUAUUUCUUUCAUUAAUGUAGAUUGUAGUCCAAGCUUGUAGUAUAUAAUUUCAUUAUAGUAUAUGGACUAGACAGUUUAAUCAAGUUAUAACUGGCUCUUUUGAAAUACUAAACCAUGUUAUAGAAGUGGUAGCUCUUCUUUGUUAAUUGCAGUCGACAGUGAUGAAUGUACAUUUUAUGUGUAUCAUUUUUACAUAGAAAAACAUGAAAGGUGUGUUUUGUAUGGAAUAUGCUUUUUUUCAUCUCUAACAAAAAAACUAAACAAAACAACAAAAAAACAAAUGCAAAUUAUGAGCAAUAAAGUUGCAUCUGUGGGGUAUAAAUGAUAAAAUCAUUUUGAAAUAUAAAGUUGCAAAUAUAAAAAUAUCACAAUUAAAGAAAUAAACUUGCAAUUACCUUUUUUUAUUUUGAAGAGGAAAUUGCCUUCAAUAGAUUUAAUAUUUGUGGCCAUUUUGUUAGCUAUUAUAUUAUA
rnacentral:lncRNA from 12 species